GCCGGGCGUGGUGGCGCAUGCCUGUAGUCCCAGCUACUCGGGAGGCUGAGGUGGGAGGAUCGCUUGAGCCCAGGAGUUCUGGGCUGUAGUGCGCUAUGCCGAUGGGGUGUCCGCACUAAGUUCGGCAUCAAUAUGGUGACCUCCUGGGAGCGGGGGACCACCAGGUUGCCUAAGGAGGGGUGAACCGGCCCAGGUCGGAAACGGAGCAGGUCAAGAACAUAAUAUGAAAACCCACAUAAUCCCAUCCAGUCCCUUUAGAAGUUCCAUGUGUCUCUCUCCACCA
ensembl:misc_RNA Metazoa_SRP Metazoan signal recognition particle RNA